GUAGUCUCGCACAGAUGCAUAUCAAUAAGCGGAGGAAAAGAAACUAACAAGGAUUCCCCUAGUAACGGCGAGUGAAGCGGGAAGAGCUCAAAUUUGAAAUCUUAAAGGGUUUCCCUUUACGAAUUGUAGUUUAAAGAAGUGUUUUCUGUUGAGGUUUUGGUAAAAGUUCUUUGGAAUAGGACAUCAUAGAGGGUGAGAAUCCCGUAUUUGACCUUUACUUUCAACUUUGUGAUACACUUUCAAAGAGUCGGAUUGUCUGGGAAUGCAGUCCAAAAUGGGUGGUAAAUUUCAUCUAAAGCUAAAUAUUGGCGAGAGACCGAUAGCGAACAAGUACCGUGAGGGAAAGAUGAAAAGAACUUUGAAAAGAGAGUUAAACAGUACGUGAAAUUGUCAAAAGGGAAGCGUUUGACACCAGUGUUGUUUUUCUGAAAAUCAAUUAAAGAACUGUUUAUGCUAAGCUGUUUAGACUUUAUCAGCUAUCUGUUUAGUUUUGAGCUUUUCUUUAAUGCACUUUUCAGUUAACAAGUCAACAUCAAUUUCUUUUGCUGUAAAAAAGCUUGAGGAAGGUGGCUUGAGAUUCGUCUUAAGUGUUUAUAGCCUCUUGCCUAUGCAGUCGGAGAGAUUGAGGUCUGCAGCGUAGAUCCUUCGGGGCUAAAUGCAUUUGUGCUAAGUUAUAGCAUUUUAUAGACAACUUGUUGACUAUGAUUUGUCUUGUAGCUUACUCGCUUAUGUUAUUUUACCUACGCUUAGGAUGUUGAGUAGCGACAUACGCAC
rnacentral:rRNA from 1 species